UAACCCUCAAGCCUAGCUUGGUGUUGGGGCCUGCUGUUACCGGCAGCCCUUAAAACUAGUGGCGGUGCCACCUGGCUCUAAGCGUAGUAAUAUUUCUCGCUAUAGAGUCCCGGUGGAUGCUUGCCAUCAACCCCUAAUUUUCUAU
rnacentral:misc_RNA from 1 species